CUGAUUGGCAAACCGAACGUUAGCUAGGUUUUGCGAUCACUUAUAUUUAAAACCCAACUCUUUAAAUGUUAUAUAUUUGUAUUUUAAAUGAUAAAAUAAAGA
rnacentral:misc_RNA from 1 species